UUUUAAAUUUCAGUUAGUGAUGUUAACAUACAGUGUGAUAUUAGUUUCAGGCGCACAAUAUAGAGAUUCAGCACUUCCAUGCAUCGUCCAGGGCUCAUCACAAGUAUACUUCUUAAUCCCCAUCUCCUAUUUAACAUAUCCUCCUACCCAC